GAUGAACGCUAGCGGCAGGCUUAAUACAUGCAAGGCGAAGGGGCUGCAAUGUCACUGUCGUACGGGUGCGUAACGCGUAUGCAACCUACCUAUCACUGGGGGAUAGCCCGGGGAAACCCGGAUUAAUACCGCAUAACACAGGGGCUCCUCAUGGAGAUAUUUGUUAAAGAUUUAUCGGUGGUAGAUGGGCAUGCGUUCGA
rnacentral:rRNA from 1 species